CCUCGCCUGCUCAUUAUCAGUGUCGUGUUGUCUGCUGCCCAUCACCCCUCCACAUAACUCAUAACUCACAACAAACUGUGAGCUCCUGACAGCUGAAAUCAGGCACAGCCCCUCCAGUGCCCAACCUGGCAUACAGAGAGGGUUUAUGCCAUCAUUGGAAGAGGGAACAAAUGAACAAAGAAUCAGCAAACAGGCUCUGGACCUAGAGGUAGGCAAUUCAUGAGCUACAUCCCCUGCUGAGAUGUUUACAUGGCCAAAGAGAGCAGCAGAGGCUCCUGGGCUUGAAGGGAGGAAGCAGUCUGCUGAGACGCCAUUCCCAUCAGUGUUUUUGGGUCAGCGCUGCUGACAUGCCAACCCCGCAAAUGAGGUUUCCCAAACUGAUAACAUAAAAGAAACUGUGUCCUACUGAUACUUGGUCUAUAAUUAGGAAGAUUCUCCAAAGUCCUAAGGCACGCUUUGGAAUAUUAACCCCUGUUGAUGUAAAGUCCUGGGAUCCUGAGUUCACAAGGUCCUUGAGGAAUUGCCACACUGUCUUCCACAAUGGCUGAACUAAUUUACACUCCCGCCAGCAGUGUAAAAGUGUUCCGAUUGCUCCACAUCCUCUCCAGCAUCUGUUGUCUCCAGAUUUUUAAUGAUCACCAUUCUAACUGGCAUGAGAUGGUAUCUCAAUGUAGUUUUGAUUUGCAUUUCUUGGAGUUGCAUCUUAUGGA